UGCCUUUCAUUAGGCUGAAGUGCAGUGCAGGAUGUCUCAACCAGCUGCCUCUGCAGUGACUCUGUAGAGCGUAAACCUUUGGAGGAACCUGUCACAGGAAAGAGCUCCUUCUGGAACUGUUCAGCACUCGCUGAAACACAGUGUACGACACGGGACUUGACGACCAGAGCUGCUUUUGGCAAGGGGUGUUGUAGCUGGCCUAAGAGAGCAGAUGGAAGCAUCUGCCUCGAGGGGAGGGGAGGGCACGGAGGUAAGGCAGCAGCUGAGAGUAACUGUCCCAGCUGUGCUGUGGCUUUGGAUGCUGCUUCAGCCUAUGCUUUUCUUUUUGUUUCACAUUUGUCUCACACAGGCUGA
rnacentral:lncRNA from 1 species